UGAAAAAUUAAAAAAGCAACUUAAUAACUUUGAUAUUUAUACUAUUUAGUCUUUAAGUUUAGCAUAGCACAAGAAAAAUUAACAACAAUCUGAAACAUCAGACACACACAUGAAGUUUGAUAUUAAGCUAUUAAAAUGAGUGUGAAUGUAAAAGUCAAAUAAUUAUGACAGAGUUGUAUUUCCCAGUAGAUCUUAGAGAGCAUGCAAGCCACAGGGGGUGAGCAAGGGGGAGGAUCGGUCCCGUACCGUGUGGGCUGGUGGGAGAAGGAGCAGAGAAAUGCUAAGUAAAUACCGUUUUUGUAAGGUCUUUGUUCAACUAAAUGACACUCCUAAUUUUUUUAAAAUCACAGCUUUAUUGAGAUAUGAUUUUGACAGUCUUAGAUUUAGACAGUGAGAAAUCAUGGAGAUAUGAGUCAUUUUUUCUUUUCCAGAUACAAGGAAAGUAUCCGCACAAGAAAAUGUCACCUUUCUGUGAUCCAAACUCCCCAGGCCAUGACAAAAGACAGAAGCAAAGGAGAGCAGCUUAGACUGAAGCCAGAAACAGGUGGCUGGCAGGAAACAGCCCCACCGGGCUCUCUCCAACCCUCCAGCUCCGCACCUGGGGACGGAGGCGAAACUCUUCUUUACAUAUCGGGCAUGGCUGCAUGGAAUCUCCUUGCAGGACGGACCUCUGCUUCACUUUCUCCCACCCGUCUGAGGACAGUGGCAAUGGGGGAGGCUCAAAGAGGCCCAGCUUCUGUGCUGAAGAAUAAAAACUGCUAAACAGCUUGGAGGUGCCUGCAGUGAGCACUACAGAAGACUGCUUUUCUCACCUGCCUGUCCGCUGCCCCCGCACCACACUGGGCAUCUCCCAUUCCUGCUGACAGUUCCUGGUUGAAGCAACAUUUGCAAGCUAUUUUUAAUACUCUCAAAUGGCUAAAUUAAAAUACAUUUCACAAGUAAAAUAAUGUGUACAUUUUUAAAAAGGAUGGUGUACCUUAUUUUUUAACAUGCUGAAUCAGGAAAAGUUGCUUGGCUCUCACAAACCCUAUCAUCACAGUGUAUCACAGUCCUUUGUUCUUCCGCUGUGAAAACAUAAUCAACAGAAAGUCAAAGUCAGAGCGUACAUAAAACUCUCAGGAUGUUUGCGCGGAAGACACGUGUUAAGAGUCUGAUGAUGAAGCGACGCAAAUGCCCACUGCAGCGCAGCACUGAGCCAUGAGUCUGAUUCGGGAGGAGCAGGAUUCCAGCCAGUUGCAGCUUGCUCCAGCCCUGUCCUCAAACAGCUCACCACCGACUCACAGAGAACAUGUUAGUAUAAAUGAGAAUGAUCCAUUGCUAAAUAUAACAUUACACAUAAGCUAACAACAAAAUUUCAAACUAACAUCGGAGACUAAAAAGAUCAGAGAUUGUAAACAAAAAAAUCUCCUAAAGAGGUAACAGUUAAACUGGAACUUGAAGAGUAGACAGAGGGAAAUGAACAUGUUACAUUACGUGGAAAGCAAAGGCACUUAGGAUAUCAGCAUGCUAUGCCUGCCUGUUACUUGGGGGAAAAAGGGAACAAUGAAGAAACUGGAAUGCAGAGGAAGUUGCUAACUGCAGUCUGCCCAGACACAGAGGGACAGCAUAGGGGACAAACUUGGGUUCUAAUCUUGCUGCACCACUUUGCUGGGCAAGAUACUCAACGCAGCGGCAUCUCAGUUUCCUCAUCUGCAAAGCAAGUACGGCACUGACUCGGCAAGGUUCCCGUAGGGGUUAAAUAAGACAACCUUUGUAAAGUAUCUAACAGGGAUCUUUCUACCCAGAAGGUACUCCAGUUAUUCCAAUUCCCUUCACAGCUGGUGAAGAAUUUGGAACUGGCCCUUUUUGUUUUUGGACAAGGGUGUAUUUUGUGAAGACAAAAAAAGUACAAAAUGUACUGUAAAGGGUAGAAACAGAAAGUUAUUCAAGUAGUCUAGCGAAAUAGUACAGCAGAUCCUCAAAUAACAUUGCUUCUUUCAACAUCGUUUCGUUAUAACAUCGAUGGAAAAAAAAAAGUACAUUGGCAGCUGAGGUCACUGUCCAAGUGGGGUCUGCACAUUCUCCCCACGUCUGCGUGGGUUCUCUCUGGGCACUCGGGUUUCCUCCCACACCCCAGAGCCGUGCACACUAGGUUCACUGGCGUGUCUAGACUGUCCCUGUCUGAGUGAGCGGGUGUCUGAAUGUGCCCUGCGAUGGGAGGCCAUCACGUCCGGGGUCAGUUCCUGCCGUGUGCUGAGCUGCCAGGAUGGGCUGUGGCCACCUGUGACCCUGAACUGGAAUAAGCAGGUUGGAAAAUGAAUGAAUGAAUACAAAAUUAUUGUCAAAUAAUCCAGUAAGUGUACAAUAACCAUACAGAUACACAAUAAACGAUGCAGUACGAGAGUGCUCAGUGGGCACUUUGUUGUGGACCUGCGUGGUGGGAGCAGGUGCUCCUGAAUUUUUGCUUUGCAAACGUUUAUCCCAGAUUUAACCCACCACACGAAGACCACCGCCACUCACUGUAAAGUUGGGUUUUGAUCUUUCUUAGAUGUAUGUAUAGCUCACAUUUAUUUCAAUGUUUAACAUUAGAAGCGUUUUGGUCUUUACUUAGAAAUUUGGUGAUGUUUUUAAGACCAGAAAUAUGCUGUAGGAACUUAACUCUUGUUUAUAUCAAUUAGCCUACAAUAAAAGUGGUUUCACUAUA